UUAUAGUGUUACCUCCGAGCCAUGUAACCUGUAAUGUUAGAUUAUGGUUACUUGGCCGAUAGGGUUUACCUGGAAACGGGUAGGCCUCCCGUGCGGAAAGGAUGGUAAUUUAUUUGUUAU
rnacentral:ncRNA from 2 species